UACGUAGGGUGCGAGCGUUGUCCGGAAUUAUUGGGCGUAAAGAGCUUGUAGGUGGUUUGUCGCGUCUGCUGUGAAAAUCCGAGGCUCAACCUCGGACUUGCAGUGGGUACGGGCAGACUAGAGUGUGGUAGGGGAGACUGGAAUUCCAGGUGUAGCGGUGAAAUGCGUAGAUAUCUGGAGGAAUACCGGUGGCGAAGGCGGCAUCCUGGACCGACACUGACGCUGAGGCGCGAAAGCUAGGGUAGCAAACGGG
rnacentral:rRNA from 1 species